GACAGAGGGUGCAAACGUUGUUCGGAAUUACUGGGCGUAAAGCGAGUGUAGGCGGUUUGAUAAGUCGGAUGUGAAAGCCCUGGGCUCAACCCAGGAAGUGCACUCGAUACUGUCAAGCUAGAGUAUCGGAGAGGUUGGUGGAAUUCUCGGUGUAGAGGUGAAAUUCGUAGAUAUCGUGAGGAACACCGGUGGCGAAGGCGGCCAACUGGACGAAUACUGACGCUGAGACUCGAAAGCGUGGGGAGCAAACAGG
rnacentral:rRNA from 1 species